rnacentral:tRNA from 2 species
GCCGGUGUGGCGGAACGGCAGACGCACCAGGUUCAGGGCCUGGCGGCCGCAAGGUCGUGGGGGUUCAAAUCCCUCCACCGGCA